rnacentral:lncRNA from 10 species
GCAUACUCUAUAUUUCUUGAUGCCUAUUGGAUCAAAUAUGGGUUGGAAUUUUUGUAACUUGGUGUUGGGUAGUAGAAAGAAUCAGAAAAGUUGAAAUGGAAAUAUUCUCUCCUAACUUUACCACUGAUUAGAUGGAUGUGGUCGGUUGAUGGUAAAAUUGGCACCAAAUCUUACUUUUCUGUAACCCAUUCCUUGUAAUGUGAUCUUGCAGCAACUCUCAGAAAGAAGAGUCUAUGUCCCUGUACACAGAAUCUGGCUUGACUUUGCGACUUGCUUUCACCAAUCAAAUGCAGAAGAAGUGAAGUCUGGUCCUCAGGAGGUUUUGUACUCCUCUGCUGACUCUCCUGGGAUGCUAAAAACGCCAUGAGUCCUAGUUACGACUAACUUACAUGGCCUAGUCACCUCCAUUGUCCAAGCCAAUAGGUACCCAGCCAUCACACCUAGAGUGAGGCCAUUCCAAUCUCCAGCUGAUCUGCUGUGGAUGAGCAUGGCCAAGAUCAACUGAGCUUGGCUCAGAUGAGCAAGACUCCCUGGAUAACCUACAAUCUUGUGGAGAAAUGGAGGCACUCAUGGAUCAAGCAUUUUCCCAGGGCCACAUAGUUAAUGUAGCACUUAGAAGACUGGGUAUCUUUUUCAAUGCCACAUAGUAGCACAGCUAGGAGUUGAACCAGGCAGUCUGGUGCUACAGGCCAUACAUUUUGACAUGUGUUUUGUUGCCUCUUGACAAAGUCCAUGGACUGUGAUCCUGGGACCAACAGCAUCAGUAUCAACUGGGAACUUCUUAGAAAUUCAAAUUCUUGGGGCUAUUCCCCAAAUUUCUGAGUCAGAAGCUCUGGGGAUAGGGCCCAGCAAGCUAUGUGUUAACAGACUUUUUAGAUCAGGGGUUCCCCCCAACUCCCAGGCCAAGAACCAGUACCAGUCUGUGGCCUGUUAGGAACCAGGCUGCACAGCAGGAGGUGAGGGCAGGUGAGCAUUACUGCCUGAGCCCUGCCUCCUCCUAUCAGAUCAGUGGUGUCAUGGCAUUAGAUUCUCACAGGAUCAAGAACCAUAUUGUGAACUGCACACACAAGGGAUAUAGGCUGCAUGCUCCUUAUAAGCAUCUAAUGCCUGAUGACCUGAGCUAGAACAAUUUCAUCCUGAAACCACCUCCCCCUUCCCCCAACCCCGUCCGUGAAAAAAUUGUCUUCUAUGAAACUGGCCCCUGGUGCCAAAAAGGUUGGGGGUGGCUGUUUCAGAUUAUUCUUACUCAGGAUAAAAUUUGAGGACACCUGCCCUAGCUCCUUAAAUUUAAGCUAUAAUUCAUAAAUUGGGUUCUUACGGUGCAUUAGAAUAAUGCAUUGAAUAGGUGAUUUUUGGAUGACUCCUAUGUGCUAACUACCAUUGUACUUGUAGGUGUUACCAUGCAGAACAAAAGGUAAAGUAUUCCUUGGGAAAUAAACAGCCAAAUAAAGACUUAAAUACACACAAGAUCUCAGCUAUCACAUUCGAUAAUUUCCAGAAAGAAAAGAAGUGUGAUACCAGAGCACAUGACAAGAAGUGGGUUUGAGGGUGAGAGGUGGGGGUGGUGUCAUCAAAGUCUUUCUUAAGUGAAUGAUGAUGUAUAAGAAAAAGUUGAUGGUUCUGGACACUGGCUGCACAUUGCAGUCUCUUGGGGAGGCCUAAAAACCUUUAGGCCACAUCCCAGACCAAUUGAACCGGAGAGUUGGGUUUGGGGCGCAGGCAUCAGUAUUUAUUUAUUUAUUUAUUUAUUUAUUUAUUUGAGAUGGAGUCUCACUCUGUCACCAGGUUGGAGUGCAAUGGUGCAAUCUCGGUUCACUAUAACCUCUGCCUCUCAGGUUCAAGCGAUUUUCUUGCCUCAGCCUCCCCAGUAGCUGGGACUACAGGCGCCUGCCACCAUGCGCAGUUAAUUUUUGUAUUUUUAGUAUAGAUGGGGUUUCACCAUGUUGGCCAGGAUGGUCUCGAUCUCUUGACCUCGUGAUCCGCCCUCCUCGGCCUCCCAAAGUGCUGGGAUUACAGGCGUGAGCCGCUGCACCUGGCCAGCAUUUUUUUAAAUCACCUCAAGUGAUAUCAGUUUGCAGCCCAGGUUUAAGACUCCCUGAACUUAAGGCUAUAGGGGAGAUAUGCAGGCCUGAUGAAAGAGUGACAUGAAAGAAGUUAGUGUCAGAACAAAGUGUUUGAUAGCACAAAAAAGACCAAGAAGACAAAAGAUUUGUGUAUGUAUAAUGCACUUGUGUAAUAUAAUGUAUUUACUACAUGAGUGAAUAAAACAGAUUAGCUUUUAAUACAUGCUAUUAAAAGAUAAGCUACUAAUACAUGCAUUUAGAGAAGAAGAAAUGUUAGGAAAAUACUAGUGGAAAAUAGGAUGUGAAGAGAGGUGAGUUCCUUCCUGUAGAGGAGUUUGCCACUUAUGUAAAAAAACUAAUCAACAUUUAUGGAGUGACUACUAAGUGCUCUCUAGCAGAUGCCAUGAAGACAAUCCUUUUCUACUCUCAGUAGUCUCAGGUCUGCUGAGGUAAUGCUUCUAGGAAAAACGGUUUUGAUUUCAAUAUAAAAUCGUAACUUGAUUAUGGUUAUAUGCCCACCUAUAGAUGGAAGAUGGAAAAUCCUUGAAAAAUGUACUAGUGAACUGGUUCUGCUGAUAACUUAUUUUCAAUACUACUUAAGUAACUAUAUAAUUAGUGGAAAAAAGAAUAUUGUCUGAGACUAAAAUGUGAAAUAUUAAUUGCAUUUUUGGUCCCUAUUGAUAGCCGUCUCUGCAUCUACACUCUUGGUAAUUGAGACUUUGUGGCUGCUCGUUUGAAGAGAUAGAAUCUAAUUCCCUAGCCUUGUCUCUGGACUGGCCUUAUGAUUCUCUUUAACCAUAGAAUGUGGGAGAAGUGAUGAUGUGCCUAUUCUAAGUCUAGGCCUCAAGAAGUCUUGAAAGAUUCUGUUCCCUCUUGGUUAGUCCACUGGAGGAUGAGAGACCCACGGCCCAAUAACCUCCAUUGCCUCGGCCAACAGACAGUCAACUUCCAGUCUCACCAUUGCCUAGACUACCACAGGGACCACAGACACAUAACGGUGCCCAGCCAAGACAAGAAGAAACAUCCAGCUGAGUCCAGCCUAAAUUGCUGAUCUGCAGAAUUGAAAACUUGGGAGGAAGACAUACUAUACCACAUGGUCCUUUCCUUUUUCUGUGGAUGGCAAAAAGAUGCAUCACUUCCCGGAGCUUAUGAUAGAAGAUGCUCCUUCGCCAGUGUGAGACACUUAAAAGGACAAUGAUUUGUGCAGGGAACUAACCCUGUGUGCUACGUGUCCUUUUGCUCCAUUUUACUGAUGUGACAAUUGGAGCAGAAUAGUUUAUGUGGCAAAUUUUCCCAGCAUUUAUUUGCACUGCUUACUACAUUCACAUUCUAGUUUACAAAUCUUGACAAAGACAACUGAAUAGGUGUUUUGCAUGAAUGUACUUAUUUUGUAUUGAAGUAUGACACACAUGCAGAGAAGUGACAUUGUCAUAAGCAAAUGGCUUGAUGGCUUUUACAAACUGAAUGUAUGUAUAACCAACAUCGAGAACUAGAAGCAGCUUUUUCAGCCCCUCCUUCCUGAAACUUU